rnacentral:rRNA from 1 species
UACGUAGGGUGCAAGCGUUUAAUCGGAAUUACUGGGCGUAAAGCGUGCGCAGGCGGUUUUGUAAGUCUGUCGUGAAAUCCCCGGGCUCAACCUGGGAAUUGCGAUGGAGACUGCAAGGCUAGAAUCUGGCAGAGGGGGUAGAAUUCCACGUGUAGCAGUGAAAUGCGUAGAGAUGUGGAGGAACACCGAUGGCGAAGGCAGCCCCCUGGGUCAAGAUUGACGCUCAUGCACGAAAGGCGUGGGGAGCAAACGAGGAUACGAA